CUCAGAAGCUUUAGGUAGAACUACAUACGACAGUAAAGAGAUGGAGUGUCACAUUCCCUCGGAGCCUUGUCAUCUCAAGACUACCAUACUGCAUAAAGUCCUGGGAAGUAACACAAAGAUUACAGGGCAGAUUGUAAUUGGCCAGACGCUUCGGUUCACCUUGCCCUGAAAACUUGUUGGUAGGCUGCUCCAGAAUGAAGCUGAACAUCUCUUUCCCAGCUCCUGACUGCCAGAAACUCAUUGAAGUUUGCAAUGAAUGCAAACUUUGUACCUUUUAUGAGAAGCCUAUGGCUACAGAAGUUGCCUGUGAUGCUCUGGGUGAAGAGUGGAAGAGUUACGUGGUCUAAAUGAGUGGUGACAAUGACAAACAAGGCUUUUCUCCAUGAAGAGGGGGUAGUUUGACCUAUGGCUGUGCUAAGUAAGGGGCAUCCCUGCUCCAGACCAAGGAGGACUGGAGUGCAAGUGCAAAUCUGUUUGGGGUUGCAUUGUGGAUGCCAAGCUCACUGUUCUCAACUUGGUCACUGUAGAAAGGAGAGAAGGAUAUUCCUGGACUCACUGAUUCUAUGGUGCCUUGUCAUCUGGGGCCCAAAAGAACAAGCAGAAUCAACAAACUUUUCAAUCUCUGUAAAGGGGGUGCCUGGGUGGCUCAGUCAAUUAAGCGUCCAACUUCAGCUCAGGUCAUGAUCCCACGGUUCGUGAGUUUGAGCCCCACAUCGGGCUCACUGCUGUUUUCACAGAGCCUGCUUCGGAUCCACUGCCCUCUGUCUCUCGGCAACCCCUCCCACU